AGCAGCCGCGGUAAUUCCAGCUCCAAUAGCGUAUAUUAAAGUUGUUGCAGUUAAAAAGCUCGUAGUUGAACUUCGGGGUUUACCCAUUGGUCAGGCUUAAUUGUCUGUACUGGUGAGAUAAAUCUCUACCUUCUGAGGAACUUUCAUGUCAUUAAUUUGGUGUGAUUGGAAAUCAGGACUGUUACUUUGAAAAAAUUAGAGUGUUUAAAGCAGGCUAACGUCCGAAUACAUUAGCAUGGAAUAAUGAAAUAGGACGGAUUGAUUCUAUUUCGUUGGUUUCUAGGAUCACCGUAAUGAUUAAUAGGGAUAGUUGGGGGCAUUAGUAUUCAAUUGUCAGAGGUGAAAUUCUUGGAUUUAUUGAAGACUAACUACUGCGAAAGCAUUUGCCAAGGAUGUUUUCAUUAAUCAAGAACGAAAGUUAGGGGAUCGAAGACGAUCAGAUACCGUCGUAGUCUUAACCAUAAACUAUAGCCGACUAGGGAUCGGACGAAGUUAAUUUUAUAAUGACGCGUUCGGCACCUUACGG
rnacentral:rRNA from 1 species